ACUCCUACGGGAGGCAGCAGUGGGGAAUAUUGCACAAUGGGCGCAAGCCUGAUGCAGCCAUGCCGCGUGUAUGAAGAAGGCCUUCGGGUUGUAAAGUACUUUCAGCAGUGAGGAAGGCGGGUACGUUAAUAGCGUGCUCGUUUGACGUUAGCUGCAGAAGAAGCACCGGCUAACUCCGUGCCAGCAGCCGCGGUAAUACGGAGGGUCCGAGCGUUAUCCGGAAUUAUUGGGUUUAAAGGGUCCGUAGGCGGGCCGGUAAGUCAGGGGUGAAAGUCUGUAGCUCAACUAUAGAACUGCCUUUGAUACUGCCGGUCUUGAGUCACGGUGAAGUUGCCGGAAUAUGUGGUGUAGCGGUGAAAUGCAUAGAUAUCACAUAGAACACCGAUUGCGAAGGCAGGUGACUAACCGUGUACUGACGCUGAUGGACGAAAGCGUGGGGAGCGAACAGGAUUAGAUACCCUGGUAGGAUAGCG
rnacentral:rRNA from 1 species